UGGCGGCAGGCCUAACACAUGCAAGUCGAACGGACCCUUCGGGGUAGUGGCGGACGGGUGAGUAACACGUGGGAACGUGCCUUUAGGUUCGGAAUAGCUCCAGGAAACGGGUGGUAAUGCCGAAUGUGCCCUUCGGGGGAAAGAUUUAUCGCCUUUAGAGCGGCCCGCGUCUGAUUAGCUAGUUGGUGAGGUAAUGGCUCACCAAGGCGACGAUCAGUAGCUGGUCUGAGAGGAUGACCAGCCACAUUGGGACUGAGACACGGCCCAAACUCCUACGGGAGGCAGCAGUGGGGAAUCUUGCGCAAUGGGCGAAAGCCUGACGCAGCCAUGCCGCGUGAAUGAUGAAGGUCUUAGGAUUGUAAAAUUCUUUCACCGGGGACGAUAAUGACGGUACCCGGAGAAGAAGCCCCGGCUAACUUCGUGCCAGCAGCCGCGGUAAUACGAAGGGGGCUAGCGUUGCUCGGAAUUACUGGGCGUAAAGGGCGCGUAGGCGGACAUUUAAGUCAGGGGUGAAAUCCCAGAGCUCAACUCUGGAACUGCCUUUGAUACUGGGUGUCUUGAGUGUGAGAGAGGUAUGUGGAACUCCGAGUGUAGAGGUGAAAUUCGUAGAUAUUCGGAAGAACACCAGUGGCGAAGGCGACAUACUGGCUCAUUACUGACGCUGAGGCGCGAAAGCGUGGGG
rnacentral:rRNA from 1 species